UGGGGAAUUUUGCACAAUGGGGGAAACCCUGAUGCAGCGACGCCGCGUGAUUUAGAAGGCCUUCGGGUUGUAAAAAUCUUUUCUAUGGGAAGAAAAUGACAGUACCAUAGGAAUAAGGACCGGCUAAUUACGUGCCAGCAGCCGCGGUAAUACGUAAGGUCCGAGCGUUGUCCGGAAUCAUUGGGCGUAAAGGGUACGUAGGCGGGUAAGCAAGUUAGAAGUGAAAUCCUAUAGCUCAACUAUAGUAAGCUUUUAAAACUGCUCAUCUUGAGGUAUGGAAGGGAAAGUGGAAUUCCUAGUGUAGCGGUGAAAUGCGCAGAUAUUAGGAGGAAUACCGGUGGCGAAGGCGACUUUCUGGCCAUAACCUGACGCUGAGGUACGAAGCGUGGGUAGCAAACAGG
rnacentral:rRNA from 1 species